GAUGAACGCUGGCGGCGUGCCUAAUACAUGCAAGUCGAGCGAACAGACGAGGAGCUUGCUCCUCUGACGUUAGCGGCGGACGGGGGAGUAACACGUGGAUAACCUACCUAUAAGACUGGGAUAACUUCGGGAAACCGGAGCUAAUACCGGAUAAUAUAUUGAACCGCAUGGUUCAAUAGUGAAAGACGGUUUUGCUGUCACUUAUAGAUGGAUCCGCGCCGCAUUAGCUAGUUGGUAAGGUAACGGCUUACCAAGGCAACGAUGCGUAGCCGACCUGAGAGGGUGAUCGGCCACACUGGAACUGAGACACCGUCCAGACUCCUACGGGAGGCAGCAGUAGGGAAUCUUCCGCAAUGGGCGAAAGCCUGACGGAGCAACGCCGCGUGAGUGAUGAAGGUCUUCGGAUCGUAAAACUCUGUUAUUAGGGAAGAACAAAUGUGUAAGUAACUAUGCACGUCUUGACGGUACCUAAUCAGAAAGCCACGGCUAACUACGUG
rnacentral:rRNA from 1 species